AAGACCAAUGGAGCAUAAUUUACAACAAAUCAUUUUAUCAAUAAUAAAACCUUUACCAUCCACUUACCUCGGUGAAAAUCAUAAAACCGUAUACGAAAGCAAUAACAUUAUCAUCAUCAUGAAAUCAUAUAAACUGUAUAACAUAAUACUUAUCACGCCUUUUGUAAUUCAAUCAUUACACAACAUAUUUUUCCUUAUUUACCAGCCUAUUAGUAUCCAUGGGGAUCCAUAGGAGUCCCGCUACCCGUGAACCUUUAACACUUGUAAUCAGAUUCCAAGGCCGUCCCCAUACCCUGUCCAGUAUGGGCGCCAAAACUAUAAACCUCAAUACCCCGUCCGGUAUGAGGGUGAAACGGGCCGUCCCCAUACCCCGUCCGGUAUGGGCGCCAAAACACAUAAGGUCUCCAUACCCCGUCCGGUAUGAGAGACCACAAUCCCGGUAGGGUUCCCUACGGACCCGGUCCGUCCACCAUCUCCCAAGAUAUCUAGUCAGGCUGACCACAUUAUACAAUUAUCAAUUUACAUAACUUUUCAUUCCCCUUUUCCUCAGUCAGCAUCAUCAAAUCACACACAAACAAGCAACCAGUAAUUUAUGCCAAACAAGACAACAUACAACAUCGGGUUCUCAGUCAUUCAACCCAUAAUCAAUAAAACAGUGAUAUAUGCACACGAAACUAUGAAAUAAAAACAUCAGACCUCAUACUGCAUUUGAAACCGUAAAAUAUGCCAAAUAACAGUUAACCGACCAACACACUAGACUCGGGCUCCAUUGGCGACCUUAAGCAAUUUCACACAUUCGUUGAUUCAAGAAUUACCGUUUUAUCAUUAUUGAACU
rnacentral:lncRNA from 1 species